AGCGAACGCUGGCGGCAGGCCUAACACAUGCAAGUCGAACGGUUGUAGCAAUACAGCAGUGGCGCACGGGUGAGUAACGCGUGGAUAUCUGCCUUUUGGUUCGGAAUAACUCCGGGAAACUGGAGCUAAUACCGGAUGGUUCCUACGGGAUACAGAUUUAUCGCCAAAAGAUGAGUCCGCGUACGAUUAGCUAGUUGGCGGGGUAAUGGCCCACCAAGGCGACGAUCGUUAGCUGGUCUGAGAGGACGAUCAGCCACACUGGGACUGAGACACGGCCCAGACUCCUACGGGAGGCAGCAGUGGGGAAUAUUGGACAAUGGGGGCAACCCUGAUCCAGCCAUGCCGCGUGAGUGAUGAAGGCCUUCGGGUUGUAAAGCUCUUUUGGCGGGGACGAUGAUGACGGUACCCGCAGAAUAAGCCCCGGCUAACUUCGUGCCAGCCGCCGCCGUAAGAC
rnacentral:rRNA from 1 species